AUACGGAGGGUGCAAGCGUUACUCGGAAUCACUGGGCGUAAAGGACGCGUAGGCGGGUUUGUAAGUCAGGUGUGAAAUCCUACAGCUCAACUGUAGAACUGCACUUGAAACUACAGACCUAGAGUAUGGAAGGGGCAGAUGGAAUUAGUGGUGUAGGGGUAAAAUCCGUAGAUAUCACUAGGAAUACCGAAAGCGAAGGCGAUCUCCUGGAACAUAACUGACGCUAAGGCGUGAAAGCGUGGGGAGCAAACAGGAGUAGAAACCCCUGUAGUCC
rnacentral:rRNA from 1 species